GAUGAACGCUGGCGGCGUGCCUAAUACAUGCAAGUCGAACGAAACUUCUUUAUCACCGAGUGCUUGCACUCACCGAUAAAGAGUUGAGUGGCGAACGGGUGAGCAACACGUGGGCAACCUGCCCAAAAGAGGGGGAUAACACUUGGAAACAGGUGCUAAUACCGCAUAACCAUAGUUACCGCAUGGUAACUAUGUAAAAGGUGGCUAUACUACCGCUUUUGGAUGGGCCCGCGGCGCAUUAGCUAGUUGGUAGGGUAAAGGCUUACCAAGGCAAUGAUGCGUAGCCGAAUUGAGAGGGUGAUCGGCCACAUUGGGACUGAGACACGGCCCAAACUCCUACGGGAGGCAGCAGUAGGGAAUCUUCCACAAUGGGCGAAAGCCUGAUGGAGCAACGCCGCGUGGGUGAAGAAGGUCUUCGGAUCGUAAAACCCUGUUGUUAGAGAAGAAAGUGCGUGAGAGUAACUGUUCACGUUUCGACGGUACCUAACCAGAAAGCCACGGCUAACUACGUG
rnacentral:rRNA from 1 species